rnacentral:misc_RNA from 1 species
UUAUUGCCGUACCAACUGGUA